UACGGAGGGUGCAAGCGUUGCUCGGAAUUAUUGGGCGUAAAGCGCACGCAGGCGGCAUGGUAAGUCAGUUGUGAAACUCCCGAGCUUAACUUGGGAACUGCAGCUGAUACUGCCCUGCUUGAGUACGGAAGAGGGGAGCGGAAUUCCCAGUGUAGAGGUGAAAUGUGUUGAUAUUGACAGGAACACCAGUGGCGCAAGCGGCUAUCUGGACCGACAUCGACGCUGAGGCACGAAAGCGUGGGGAUCAAACAGGAUUAGAAACCCUAGUAGU
rnacentral:rRNA from 1 species